GAUGUUCACCAUCUUCUCGUCUCUGUUUCCCUUGGACGCAGAGAUGGCUUCGAAGGAACCAGAGAAGCUGCAUGGGAUGAAGGCCUGCGCAUAACAAGAUGCUUCUCCGUGAGGAAAUCAUUCAGGAAUCGACCAGUGAAGAUGAGACUGCCUUCAGCGCUGGGCAACACUGGAAGCCUGUGCUCUUUGGAAGGAAGUAGAUAUGCAUAGCUCUCACGCACGUGUACGUGUAUUUAAAUACAUGCACAGAGUGGAAGAACCUCUGGAUCACCCGGUACCCGUGUUCCCAGUGAGUUUGGACAAAGUGACCCUCUGGCUUCUUGUUUUAACUUUCAUGAUGUAAAGAAAUGGCACUAGAGCAAGAAAACUUCUUUACAUCUGGUAUAUACUUGAAAAAUGAAGAUUCCACACAAAUAAAUAUGGAAGGAAUUUUUAGCCUCUCCCCUGACUUCCUUUCUGGGGCCUGGCACACCGCAAGCUUACGGAACGGAACCAGGACUUAUAUAACAACCCAAAGCAGACAAAGAUGUAGAAACUGUCAGCGUCACAGACAGAGCAGGAGGUGAUCAUUUUUGGAAGUGUGAACCAGCUGAUGGUCCGAGAGGUGGCGGAACCUCGGACUGCACUGGCGUGGCCCACAUUCUGGCCUGUCUCCUUCCUGCUCGACUUCAGUCGUGGACUGGACGCCUUUCUCUGCCAGUAUCAGCCAUGUCAUAUGAUCCGAUGAACUAUUUUUGCGACUCCUUCUUUUCCGUUCUGAAACAGCAAUCGUUGAUACUGUAGGCUCUGCACAUGCGUGCUUCGAAAAUACAGUGCCCCGAUUCUAAGACGAUGGAGAUUUCAUUCGUGACUUCAUCCUCACUUGAAGACGUAAUAGAUUAGUCAAAUGCUUGCAGCUAUGUGAAGAUUACGGUAGGUACAAAUACGGAUGUCAUUAGGGGUAUUCUACUAGCGACUAAACACUAGUGUUCUGCCCCACUUAGGGCCGCCCCUGGGGCAGCUCACAUGUCUCCAGGUCCGCCUUUCACUCUUUCCCUUGUUUCUGGCAUCUGACUUCCCUUUCUCCCUUGGGAACGCAGUUAUGUAUUUUAAAAACACAUUCAGCUAUGUUUUAAACCUGUCUUUUAGCAAGGAAUUUUCCUUAUUGGAAAGCUUCCCCUGUUACUGGAAACAGAACAUGCCUGUUUGAGAUGCACGAAGUAGAGAGAUUUCAUAAAUGAUGAAAGCUAACCAUGUGAUGGCUUUCCCAUAAGGAAGCAUUUCAAAAUGUACAUGUAGAAAGGCAGCGAAGGAGUCAAACUCCGACUAAGUCAUUUGAAACCAUUAUUUUCAGGGCCAAGGAAGGCAUCGCGAGAAUAAGGCUUUUAAAAAACGUUGUAAGUCCUUUGGCGGUGUUUUUAGUUGGACUCAUUUAGAGAUGAUUGGAUAUUGUUAUUUUUAAUUUGAUUUUUUUUUUUUUUAGAACAAAAAUUUACCAAAAUAGAAAGUUUGGCCAUCUCUUUUCCCCACAACUUUAAAAAGUAAACUGUGAGAGUUGGUCAGCAUAGUCUUUCUUUUUUGGACUCGGUUGCUUGCAAAUACACCCACCAUCAAAUUACAUUGUAUUCCUUCUUCUUUUGCCUCCCUGUGGCGGAGGCUUAAUAUAAAUAAAUCCAAAGCCCAGUUUUCUUCUUGUCUGUUGCUCUAAGUAAAUACAAAGAAAUCAGAUGCCUGAGUCCAUUGAUUUCAUUUUUUACAAGCGGAUCUUGUGAGAGCAUUUCUUUACCCCUGGGAUUUCAGGAGAUUUACCUGUAACCUUCUUCGCCAAGAGAACAGCGGUGAUACUUACAUUUGUGCAAUGAGUUGUAGUUUCAAAAGUCGUGCUUGACUCUUGCCAAAGUGACUGAAUGAAGAAGGACUUCAGGGACUGAUUAAAACAACAGCGACAACUCAUUUAAAUCAUUCAGCUCUUUGGCCUGUGCCAGUCCAUACUUCCAUAGGAUUGUACGUUGUGAUUUUUUUUUGUUCUAUUCCUUGACAAGACGUAGACCCAGCUGUUUCUGAAAAUUAUAUGGGCCUGUGAACUCCAGUUUCUCUGUGUGUAAAAUUGGAUAACAAAUUAUCAUGGCUGCUUUCGAAGAGAGCACUGUCUGUAAGUGAAGGAUUCCUUAAACAACUUUGGGGGUGGGGCCGAGAUCCCAUAGAAAUAGGCUGAUCCGCGGGGAGAAGCGAGGGGGGAUCCUAUGACUCACAGGGCUUCUGUGUAGGACGCACAACUUCAGGGCCAGAGCUGAAAUGCUCAUGGCAAUGGCCGUGCUGUUGAGCAUCCUUGAAGUCAUGCCUGUUUCCUGCCCCCUUCUGCGUUCCCUGGUCCCACCCCAUGCAAUUCUCAGCCUCUUCUCUAAAUAAAUAUUGAAGAUAUAUUUACCUAGCAAAGGUGCAUCAAAGUAUAUGGCUGCCCAGGUUGUUCACAUAUCUUGGUUGGGCCCCUGUCAGUUGAAGGGAUAAGGAAGAAACGCGCUGCUGUGGUGAUUUCUGUCAUUUAUUUUUCC